GCGGCGCGGGGCUCCGCGUGUCGGGCGCGGGGUGACUGGCUCCAGCUUGGGCCGCAGGGCCGCGACGGGGGAGGCGCCUCUGUCCCCAGGGUUAGCUCCGGUCCCCGGCGAUGGGGCGCAGGCGGGGCGCAGGCGGGCCGCGGCGGCCCUUCCCUCCAGGUGAGUUCGCUGGGAGAUCAGUGUGCGGGCUGAACGCGUGCUGGUGUCUUUGCUGCCUGAUCCCGGGAACCUGGAGUGUCGUUGUUGGGGGCUUAGAACUUCCUAGGUUUCUUUGCUUUCAUUUACUCAACCUGUAACUUCUGAAGCCUGACCUGCUCAAGACCCUGUUUUGUGUGGAUGUAAAUAAAAGGGUUCAGUCCCCAAGGAGA